rnacentral:misc_RNA from 1 species
AAGUCGUAACAAGGUUUCCGUAGGUGAACCUGCGGAAGGAUCAUUCAUAAUCAAAGUGUUUUUAUGGCACUUUUAAAAAAAUCCAUAUCCACCUUGUGUGCAAUGUCAUCUCACUGGAGGCCAGCGGCUGUAAAAAGCCCGUUUGGUCGCCUUUGGGAUUUAUAUCUACUCAGAACUUUAGUGAUUUUGUCUGAAAAAUAUUAUGAAUAACUUAAUUCAAAAUACAACUUUCAACAACGGAUCUCUUGGCUCUC